rnacentral:rRNA from 1 species
GAGACAGCAGCCGCCGCGGGAAUACGAGGGGGGCAAGCGUUGUUCGGAAUUAUUGGGCGUAAAGGGUGCGUAGGCGGCUUGACAAGUCUUGUGUGAAAUCUAUGGGCUCAACCCAUAGUCUGCACGGGAAACUGUCGGGCUUGAGAAUGGGAGAGGUGAGUGGAAUUUCCGGUGUAGCGGUGAAAUGCGUAGAUAUCGGAAGGAACACCUGUGGCGAAAGCGGCUCACUGGACCAUUUCUGACGCUGAUGCACGAAAGCUAGGGGAGCAAACAGGAUUAGAUACCCCAGUAGUCCCUGUCUCUUAUAC